rnacentral:rRNA from 1 species
GUAGGUGGGUUGGAAUAGGACAACGACAUUUUUUUAGAAAGACAGACGACGGGGCAAGAAUAGAGGAAGGGUGUAGAUGAGUGGGAGUAGGCGAGUGGGAGCAGACGAGAGAUGGACGUAACAUGGGCGCCAGCGGACCUAGGGGGCGUUCGUCUCCUCGAGGGUCGGUCGGUUGAACGUCUAGGCAAUUAGGCAAGACUACGAGUGGUUCCCGUUGUUCUAGGAGGUGGAUCCUGUUUAGAUUAAUGGUUCCAUAUAGGAAUAUAAAAUCGAGGUCGGUAUGAGGACGAAAUGUUAUGUGACAGGUAUAUUUACGAAAGAAUAAAAAAAGAAUAGGUGUAUUUUAGCCAACCUCCUUCCCAGACUAUCCAAAGUAAAGGAUAGGGCUAUGUACGAACCGAGAGGGCUACAGGAGUACUAUAAUUUUAAAGCAAAAGGGUAUCCAAGUCAUGUUUCAAGAAAUUAACAAUCACGUAUAUAUAUUAGAUUUCGAGUCACGAAUAACAAGAAUUACCUACGACACAAAUAUGGAAGACGGUUGGGAAACCCAAAUAGAACACCUAGAUAAGAGUACCUCAACCAACUCGAUAGGUCGUGUAGUGACCGACUUCGUUACAAGCUCUUUGAGCCAGAGGGAUUUGGUCACAUGAAACACGUAGUAGAAAGUGUUUUAGCUAAAUCUUGUCUCUAAGUUAAAGUAGCGUGUUUUCGUGCCAUGGUACGAAGUCGCACGGCCUGAUUUAAUAGUUCGGCAUAUACAGUCUUACACCAUCGUAGUUACUUAGUACGUCGGCUCUUCCGGUAGCUUAUGUACGUCUUGUUUAUCCCAUUCCACGAACACCUGAUAUUGAUAAUAGUUGAUCUCGUUUACUUUUACCGUGUAUGUUCUAAUAGUCGGUCCAACGAUCUUGUCAGUCUACUUUAGUUGGUCGUGUCGUUUUGGUAGUUCGUCUAUUGAUUUCUUCGUACGUUGAUACACUUCGUUCACGUGUUACGUAGUUUGUCUUAGGUUCUGGAACGACGGCAAAAGAAUCUGGGACGAUGGAGUUACACACAAAGAUUAUACUUCGUUCGAUAGUACCUCUAAGUGUCAAGUUAACAGCGCGAAGUUUCGAGAUGUUGAUGCUGUAGAGUCAAGGAUCUCCUUUUUCCGUACAUGAGUCUACUACUUCACGGACUUACCUCGAUGUCACCGGUGAGUCUACUUCUAAGUCGCCUACUAUAAGUAGUUGUGUAUCUACUACUGAUACAGGGUAGGGGUACUCGCAGUAUAACUCGGACGACUUGACAGAGCAACGGUACACUUCGACAUAUACAUACCGAAGUGGCGAUCCUUCGCCGAGACACAAACAACACAAAUCAGAGGAUCCAACGAAUUUAUUCUACGCUUCGACAGAUGAGUAUCGAAGCCGGAUCUUUAGAAAUAGGAAAAACUUGAAGUUAGACCUGUACAUAUUCAUAUUUCAGAUACAGGAGCACAAUUCUGUCACAAUAAAUAGAUACGAUGCGGAAACCAAAGUAGGCGACACUAAGAAGGAAAGUUAUAGAAGCGAUACUUGUAUGUAAUUAAAUGGAAAUUAGAAGGUUCUAGCUUAGUUACUUGUAAACGAUCGCAUUAUAUGUUUAUUGAUAAACGGGAAAAAUGAGUUAAGAGGAACAAGUAGUUAUCUAUUUUUUGUUGGGAGAAGUGGGUAGUUAAGCCACAAUGGUCUCUCGUAGAGUACCUCUUCUUGUUUAGGACCGGAAAGUUGGAUGGGUGUCGGCUAGUUAACUCGCUCACCUACAAUUAUCUCUCUAUGUACUAACUAUUAUAAAGAAGAAGUGUUCCAAAUUAUUCGCGUCAUCUUGUGUUCUGGUCUCUCCAACACCUCGACACAAGGGUGAUGUAUGAUCGUGCCACCCUACCUAACGGAUACCUACUCGUGGUGCAGUGCGGUGAGUAAAGCCUUGUAGAAGUAGACGGUAUAGUUGGUAUAGACAUAGGAGGUAUACUUUUGCUUAGGACCAACCACGUCUAAAUUACUUACUCCGUUUGUGUUGAAUACGUGUACGCCAAGAUAGGUCACCUCACUGGUACCGUGAUCUACCCUGACUUCAAGAUACAAUGGGACACUUUUUACAACCACACGGUUACCUUCGUUGUGACAUGCUAAAAGUCUAACUCCUUUACUACCUCUGUCGCUGACGUGUAGAUUUCCAUUUCUAGAUACCAAACGGCAAUGUAGAAACCUGAUCUUCUCGUUAACUCGCACGGGACGUCGGUGUAACGUAACAACUCUUACAAUCAGUUCGGUUAGAGUCGAAAACGUUCGAAGCUAGUCAUUUAAUGUGCCGUACCCGACAAUCUUGACGACACGGUAAGGGUACCAUAUAUGAACAAGUACAGAGGUCGUUCAUACUGUUUCCUUCUUUGGUUUCGUCACCGGUGUUCUUGUGUCUCUGUAAAACAUAACCACAACUGUCUUAAUUAUAACCUCGAGGAGUAUUGUUCAGAGAAGUUUCUUGUGUGUCCUCCUAAGGAAGAAAGAACGUCCGUGAUUUCUUUCCUUACCAAAGGGUAAGUAUAAAUUUACUACAACUGUAUGGUCGACUGGUUUACGCCUAUAACCUUAGUAGUAAGGAGGACUGCAGAACACUGCUCCCUUUUUAAUAGUGUCUCCUAUUCAAUUGUGCGACAAACGUCGUUUACGUCUAACUUACAGGACCUUUUCAGUAUCAGUUCGUUCAACCAUCCAAGUUUAUGGAAUAUAUAAAGGUUCCCGGUCAUUGAUGUUGAAACAAAGUGUACAACAGAUGACUACGACGACCUUAGAUCGAUGGAAAACCACACAAGAAUCAAGUCUUUACCAGUUACAGACGACCUCGUCAUAGAAGAUCGGAGAGAGCUUUUCUUGUUUAUUCUCAAUAUCCCAACGGUUGCUUCAAAAUGUCGGGCCGAUAUUAACUUCUGUAGGACUCGGGAGUGACGUACAAUCUUUUGUUGUUGGUAGUUCAACUACUAAGAGGACUACAAACCAAGAUACUGACACGGUACACCCGUUUACUUUUGUUUCUUUAAGGUUUCCAGUAUAGAUAAACCCGACGAGGUUUACCUAAUUGUCACCUCAUCAGUGGACAAGUUCUAGAAAUCCAAGGAGACGUCAACAUGGUACGUUCUUAAUAAUAGGCGAUUAUUUUGGUACGAAGUCCUGGACUCUAGUAUCAACUCCCUCAGGACCUAAUCCCCUACAAGCCUAUCGGCCUGAUAUGGAACAACCUUUAUACGGGAUCUCCGUUAUUAUUUUCAUAA